ACUACCCCUACGCCGGCAGUAGGGAAGAAGAAGGGAGGAGCAGGGAACUAGGGAAGAAGAAAGAGGGGAGAAGAGAAGGGGAGAGGAGAAGGAGGAGAAGGAAGAGAAGGAGGAGGAGGGUGUGGUCGUCUCCGUCGUGGUGCUGCGGUCGUUCUCGUCGUCGUUGUCCAUCGCCGCAGGACCUGUCGAGGGGACUCGGAGCACCUCGACACAGCGUCGCCUCGCCACUGCACCGACUCGUCACUGCGCCGCUAGCCUGUCUUCACCGCCACCCUAGGCACAGGACAGUAUGCCAGGUGGAAGUAGGCGGCCGCAAAGGACGGGGGUCACCUCGGCCUUCAUGAGGCCCAACGACGAGGAGCAGGAGGAGGAGAG